rnacentral:rRNA from 1 species
GAACGCUGGCGGCAGGCCAACACAUGCAAGUCGAACGGUAACAGGAAGCAGCUUGCUGCUUGCUGACGAGUGGCGGACGGGUGAGUAAUGUCUGGGAAACUGCCUGAUGGAGGGGGAUAACUACUGGAAACGGUAGCUAAUACCGCAUAACGUCGCAAGACCAAAGAGGGGGACCUUCGGGCCUCUUGCCAUCAGAUGUGCCCAGAUGGGAUUAGCUUGUUGGUGGGGUAACGGCUCACCAAGGCGACGAUCCCUAGCUGGUCUGAGAGGAUGACCAGCCACACUGGAACUGAGACACGGUCCAGACUCCUACGGGAGGCAGCAGUGGGGAAUAUUGCACAAUGGGCGCAAGCCUGAUGCAGCCAUGCCGCGUGUAAUGAAGAAGGCCUUCGGGUUGUAAAGUACUUUCAGCGGGGAGGAAGGUGUUGUGGUUAAUAACCACAGCAAUUGACGUUACCCGCAGAAGAAGCACCGGCUAACUCCGUGCCAGCAGCAGC